GGAAUGUCGUCUGGCGCGAGA
rnacentral:miRNA from 1 species